rnacentral:rRNA from 1 species
GUCGAGCGGAGAUGAGGNGCUUGCACCUUAUCUUAGCGGCGGACGGGUGAGUAAUGCUUAGGAAUCUGCCUAUUAGUGGGGGACAACAUUCCGAAAGGAAUGCUAAUACCGCAUACGUCCUACGGGAGAAAGCAGGGGAUCUUCGGACCUUGCGCUAAUAGAUGAGCCUAAGUCGGAUUAGCUAGUUGGUGGGGUAAAGGCCUACCAAGGCGACGAUCUGUAGCGGGUCUGAGAGGAUGAUCCGCCACACUGGGACUGAGACACGGCCCAGACUCCUACGGGAGGCAGCAGUGGGGAAUAUUGGACAAUGGGGGGAACCCUGAUCCAGCCAUGCCGCGUGUGUGAAGAAGGUCUUAUGGUUGUAAAGCACUUUAAGCGAGGAGGAGGCUACUGAGACUAAUACUUUUGGAUAGUGGACGUUACUCGCAGAAUAAGCACCGGCUAACUCUGUGCCAGCAGCCGCGGUAAUACAGAGGGUGCGAGCGUUAAUCGGAUUUACUGGGCGUAAAGCGUGCGUAUGCGGCUUUUUAAGUCGGAUGUGAAAUCCCCGAGCUUAACUUGGGAAUUGCAUUCGAUACUGGGAAGCUAGAGUAUGGGAGAGGAUGGUAGAAUUCCAGGUGUAGCGGUGAAAUGCGUAGAGAUCUGGAGGAAUACCCGAUGGCGAAGGCAGNCAUCUGGCCUAAUACUGACGCUGAGGUACGAAAGCAUGGGGAGCAAACAGGAUUAGAUAC